UGUGGGGUGGUCGAUUUAAGUCGGUAGAUUGUAAAUUUAUGAAUGAGUUGUUAUACUCUCCCAUAA
rnacentral:tRNA from 1 species